CUGCUGGCCCCUCAGUAGUUUGUACAGAAGAACAUAUGAUCCAGUGAUCCCACUCCGGGGUGUGGUCUUAAAAACAUUGAAAGCAGGGGUCCCCACGAACGCUUGUACUUGACUGUUCGUGGCGACGUCGUGUACGGGCAUCAGCAGGUGGAAAACCCAAAUGUCCAUCAGCAAAUGAACGGAUAAACAAAUUGUGGUCUAUGCUGCGCGUAAUAAAAUAGUAUUCAGACGUAGGAGGGAACGAAGUACUGACACACGCCCCAAAACGGGUGAGCUUAGGAACAUCACGCCGAGUGAAAGAAGCCGCAGGCAAAGCGCCCCGUAGUGUACGAUCCCACUUCUGCGGGGUGUCCACCGUGGGUAAUCCACAGAAACAGCCGACUGCUGGUUGCCAGACAGUGGGAGGAAUAGGGAAUGGGUACAAGGUUUCUUUUUGGGGUGAUGAGAAUGUUCCAAAAUGACUGUAGUGGUAAUUGUGCAACCUGGUGAAGGUACUAAACGCCAUGGAAUUCUACGCUCUAAAUUUUAUGUUCUGUAAAUUUUUCCUGAAAACAAAAUCAAAAACAAAAACAAACCUCAAAGCGCCGCUGCGUCUGACCCACGUUGGUCACCAGGCUGGACGUAGGACACCGGGUGACUGAAGCUGUGCGCCAGGUUUAUAAUCUAUAGAGUGGGGACGACAACAGGACCUGCCUCCCAGGGUUGUGGGAACGUGAAAUGACGCAGGACCUGCAGAGGCCAGUGAGCACGGGCUACACGAUGGCUGUUUUUUGGCGUGGCUGCUGGCCAUCUCUCCGGGACCAGGGGAGAUCGAGGGCCUGGAGCCCCCCACCCCAUCCACUCGGCAAUGCCCUUUGGCCUCGUAUCCUGGGACUUUGAUCAGCAAUACCGCUUGCUUGGUGCAGUCGGGGCGGGAGGCCCUUAUGGAUACUUCUGGGACUGAAGCGGGGACAUAUCCUCUUCUGGGAGUCUGGUGGCCAUUCGCAGCCCGGCCUGAGCAGCCCUGGGGUCUCCUGGCACAGGGAGACCAUACAUACCCCAUACCCUCUCAUUUAGCAGGGAGAGCUCCCAGGGCUGCAGGAGGAGGCUGCACCCCGUCAUCCAGCUGUGAUCUUCCUUCCCUACGCCCUAUGCCAGUGAGCAGGGGAUCAGUGAGGGGUCUCUGGUCCCAAGCUCAGCCCUUGGAUCCCACCGGGGUCGCCUGGCAGGACCUGCCGGCCUCUCUGCACCCCUGCCCCCUUGUGCCCUCCCCGCGGGUCCUCAGCCCGUCCCUGGAUGGUCCUGGCUGAAGGACCCUCCUGCGUGCUGGCAGCGGCUGGCCUGGGCCGACGGGUCAGGGUCCACAUUCCAAAGCUGGAAGGAGGAAGGGCAUGGGGUGGGAGGCACUUCCUGAAAAUCCGUGGAGACAGGGCUUCUUGGGGCAUCACAGGAGUGUCCCCACCGUGCGGAGCCUCACCGCCAGGGUGAGGGAGGGCGUCGGGGAGGUCAGGCUGCCCCAGGCCGGGUGCGGAGAGCCCCAGACGGCUCCUCCGUGGCCCUCCCAGCUGCUGGCUCCUCCGCACCCUAAUGAGCUCGGGGCCAGCUGGUCCCCGUCCGCGCGGCCUGCGGUCCCCUCGCGGCAGUCGUGGCUGCAGGCCAGGGAGGCGGGCCAUGUGACCUUCGGCCCACCGCCCUCCCACCCUGUGAUCUGCACGUGGCCCCUGGGGAGGCAGAAAGCAGCCCUCAGAUCUCCCGGCUGGGAACCUCUCAGCGCGACAUCAAAGGGGCCGUGGGGCGCGGGGGCGGCAGAUGCUUCUCUUAAAGGGCCACACCACUCUUUAAUGCAAAGCAGAUCCUGGGAACAGCUGUCCAGCUACCGCCUGGGACGGAGCACAGAGGACGGGCCCGAAGGAGCGGAGCGAAGGCAGCGGUCCCUGUCGUCCCGGAGCCCACUGCCUAGGCUGCUGCUGCGCGGUGCCGCCGGAGGGUCGCGGGCCCGGUGGGGGGCCCGAGGCACCGUCAGCCCAGCCGCGGCCCCCCUCCACGGCUGGGGCGGCACCGGGUUGUGGGUUAUUCUGGCGGCCAGGAGGGCGGCAGCUUGGAAACUCCACUUGUUUCGUGACAUCCACACUAGAUCAGUGUAGCCGGUGCCCGGGUGAGCUGAGGUUCCUACCUGCCUGGGCCUCUGCCCUGCCUGGGCCUCUGCCUCCCUCCCACCACGUCCAGUCCGCUCUGUGGAGCCCUGGCCCCAGGCUGUCCCCAGGGCCGGGGGUGGGGGGGACGCCAGAGGUGAGAAAACAAGAAAGUGGACCAGAGCAGCGUGUGCAGAGGGGGUUGCCUGUGUUUCAUUCUUUGGCAAUGGGAAAUCCCUGCCUUAGUGGGAAUACAGGUAUUUUCUAGAAAGGUCUGUGUUGGAAAGUAGAUUAGGUUGGUUAAAUUACAGUGCAAUGUUGGGCAGCCCCGUUGGCUCAGGGGUUUAGUGCUGCCUUCGGCCCAGGGCCUGAUCCUGGAGACCGGGAUGGAGUCCCACGUCGGGCUCCCUGCAUGGAGCCUGCUUCUCCCUCUGCCUGU